GGUGCUCGUAGAUCAGCUCGACCGCAGGGUGGUCGUAGACCAGGGUGGUCGUAGAUCAGCUCGACCACCGGGAGAGAGUGGUCGUAGAUCAGCUAGCUCAGCCGUUGCUUCUUUGGUCGUAGAUCAGCUAGCGCGCUCUGGAGUUGCUUGGUUCUUCGCUUGCUCUGCAGUACGAGCCUCAUACAGAGCCGCGCCCCUUUAAUAUGAUGAGAAGAAGAGGGGCCGCCCUCUUUUCUUUUCCGCACCAAUCCUUAAAAACUACUACAUCUUUUUUUGGGUGUAUAGCUCAGUUGGUAGAGCAUUGGGCUUUUAACCUAAUGGUCGCAGGUUCAAGUCCUGCUAUACCCAAACCUACCUUACACUCUACUAUGAGUAAGGCUGGCUUGAAAGCCUCGUUCAAAGAUCACUCUUUGGCCUUUAGACUCGCUUCGGCGACUUCGCUCGUUGGGUGAGGUAAGGAGUAGUAUCAGAGUGGCUCGGUCAUCGAUAGGCCUCUCCUUAUUCAUUCUAUAGGGCGGGGCUGCGGACCAACAAUCCAGCAAACAACGGCCCUACUACAACACAAAGGGGCCUUUUGGCCCGCCAUUUAGAGUAAGUAAAGCGCUAACGCCCGUUUAUAUAGCGGUAGGCCUUUUCUUGCUGGGGCGCGCUAGCGCCCUUUGUAUAUAUUAGUAAAGCCUUUUCUUCGCUGGCUUCGCUAGGUUGGGCGCUAGCGGGGCGCAGGAGCGCCCAACCUAGGUUAGGGGUUUUCUACGCUGGUACUGAUCCGAGUUUUUGAUAAUUACUG